rnacentral:rRNA from 1 species
UACGUAGGGCGCAAGCGUUAUCCGGAAUUAUUGGGCGUAAAGAGCUCGUAGGCGGUUUGUCGCGUCUGCCGUGAAAAUCCGGGCUCAACCCCGGACUUGCGGUGGGUACGGGCAGACUAGAGUGUGGUAGGGGAGACUGGAAUUCCUGAUGUAGCGGUGAAAUGCGCAGAUAUCAGGAGGAACACCGAUGGCGAAGGCAGGUCUCUGGGCAUUAACUGACGCUGAGGAGCGAAAGCAUGGGGAGCGAAACAGG